rnacentral:lncRNA from 1 species
GUACUUUAAGGAAUGUAGGAAUUGAAGAAGUUAUGUAGAAUCUUGAGAUCUUUCAAGGAAGUCAAGAGACUUAAGGAGAAACCGACGAAAAAGGAAUCCAACUAGAAGUGGUACUACCUCAAAUGGAAACUCAAAGAAAAAAUGAUGAAGGCUCAAGUCUCCCAAAGGAGUGGAGAUACGUCCAUAACCAUCCAACAAGUCUCAUCAUCGGCGAUCCAUCAAAUUAAAGGGGGUAACUAUUAGAAACUCUCUUGUAUUGAUAAUAGCCAAUGUUCAUCAAAUUCGAUUUUAUAAAAUUCUUAGACUCUAUUUGUGAUAGGAAUGCAAGAUUAUCACAUAUAUUGCUUGAUUUGUAAUCUAAUGAAGAAGUUGAAUUCGCCCAUCA